rnacentral:lncRNA from 1 species
UUACCAGCAAAAUUGGCAGAAUCCAUGAGGUCAGACUGAGGAGCAAAAUCAGGUUGAUGGGAAUGUUGAAAAAUAGCCAUUAGCUGAGAAUAUUGCUGCUUGGUUAAAGCUGAUACCAAUGAACCUUGUGUACCAUUGUUAGUAGUCCUAGCAAUAGAAGGAGAAGAAGAGUCAGAAGAAAGCUCUACUCUAACAGUUGCAUUUGCUAUAAUUUUCUUUACUUUGGUGAAUUUGAAAUCAGGAGGAAAACCAUGAAACUUGAAGCACAUAUCAAUUAAGUGUCCACUCUUCUUACAAUAUUUGCAGAAUAGAUUCCCUUUGGAUUGAUCAAAAUUCACUCUUUGAAUAUAUUAUCUUUGAGUGUUGGAACCAUGAGACUUAUAAUUUGUGUUGGGACUAGAAUGAUUAUUGAAGUUUAUUUUGGCAGUGAAGGCAGCUGAAUCAGGACCAAACUGAGAACUGGAGUUGAUCUGCCUUUGCCUUUCAUCUUGAAGAAGAAUAUUUUAUGCACUAUCUAGUGUUGGAGGUGAUUCCAUCAUGAGCAAGUUGCUCUUGACACCAACAUAGACUUCAUUAAGUCCCAUGAGAAACUGAUGAAGUUUAUGCUCUUCCUCCACUUUGAGAAUACCUUCUUUUGAAGCACAAGUACAGUGAUUUCCCUGGUUUCUACGAACAACCCUCAAUUCAUUCCACAAUUUCUUUAACUUGUUAAAAUAUGAUGCAAUAUCUAAGGAGCCUUGACAGGUAGAGGCAAGUUCUUUCUUAAUUUCAAAAGCUUUAGUUUCACCUACUGUUCCAUAUUUUUUAUUUAACUGUCUCCAUAUUUCUUCAGCUGUUUCAGAGUACUGGACACCAUCCGCAAUGUCAGGAGAUAAAGAACUUGUUAACCAUGAGAUUACCAUUUUAUUACACCUAUCCCAUUGAUUAGACUCUAUUGAAUUAUCUGGAGGUUUCGGUAAACUACCAUCAGUAAACAUAAUUUUGUUCCUAGCAGACAGGGAAACAAUAAUACUUCUUUUCCAACCCCCAAAAUUUGUCCCAGAAAAAGGAACCGGUACAAGAGAAACACCUUGAACAUAUGAUGACUGAACAAAUAGAGCACUGUAGGGCUUGGGAAUAAACUCACGUGUGCCAGAUACAUUAUCAUCAGUAGAUCCCACUUUACUAUAACAUUCAACAAUGGACAAUUAUCUGAUAAAUAUUAUGCAGAAUGAAACGGAUACACAGUCACCGAUUUCUUCGCAAUCGAAAGUAUGCCCUUUAAAAUGACACCUCACAGCAACGCAACAACAAUGAUGAAAUAAGAUGAAGUCAUGAAACCCUAGAAUUCUUGAGUUUGACGACAAUCACGAGAAUUUGUAGAUAAUCUUCCAUAAUCACUCAAGAAGCAAAUACAACUCAAAAAACCACGAGAGAAGUUAGAAUCAACUAGAAACUAGUAUGUAGAAUAUGAAACCAAUACCUCUAUGAAAUUGAUAUCCUCAACGAAAUUCGAUGAGGUUAACAUCGAAAUAUAGAGGGAGAUGAGGUCGACCAGAAUCAAGCUCCGAUACCAUGAGAACAUGAGAAAAUCGAUUUAUAGUUGAGAAAUUAGUGUUAGGGUUCAUGAGAGAUAAGAGAGAGGAGAUGGAACUUUCUGAAUUUCAUUUGAGAAGAA